rnacentral:rRNA from 1 species
UACGGAGGGUGCGAGCGUUGUCCGGAAUCAUUGGGCGUAAAGGGCGCGUAGGUGGCGGGACAAGCGUGCGGUGAAAGCUCGGGGCUCAACCCCGAGUCGGCCGUGCGAACUGUUUUGCUGGAGCACUGUAGAGGCAGGCGGAAUUCCGGGUGUAGCGGUGGAAUGCGUAGAGAUCCGGAAGAACACCGGUGGCGAAGGCGGCCUGCUGGACCUUUUCUGACGCUGAGGCGCGAAAGCUAGGGGAGCAAACGGG